rnacentral:rRNA from 1 species
CCUACGGGCGGCUGCAGUAGGGAAUUUUCGGCAAUGGGGGGAACCCUGACCGAGCAACGCCGCGUGAAGGAAGAAGUUAUUCGUAAUGUAAAGUUCUUUUAACAGGGAAGAAAGAGAAAUUGUACGGUACCUGAAGAAUAAGCUCCGGCAAACUACGUGCCAGCAGCCGCGGUAAUACGUAGGAAGCGAGUGUGAUCCGGAAUGAUUGGGCGGAAAGGGUGCGUAGAUGGCAUAGUAAGUCUAUUGUAAAAAUGCUGGGCUCAACCCAGUAGGGCAAAAGAUACUGCAAAGCUAGAGUAUGAUAGAGGCAAGUGGAACUACAUGUGUAGCGGUAAAAUGCGUAAAUAUAUGUAAGAACACCAGUGGCGAAGGCGGCUUGCUGGGUCGAUACUGACAUUGAGGCACGAAAGCGUGGGGAGCAAACAGGAUUAGAUACCCUAGUAGUC